CGGUGGUAAUAAUCGAUAAACGUGAUACGGAGUAUCAUAAUAUUCCUGAUGUCGAUUACCGUAUUUUUGCGCAUCGCAAUCAUUUUUUAAACUGGUAUUCCAAUCAAAAAUCAUCUAACACAAUGUUCGACGGAUUGAGUAAAAAUCCCCAAUGACGCAAGCUUAACGUAAGCAUUUGGUCUCGAAUACAACAGAUGGCGCCAUUGCUAAUUCAUGAAUGGCAAUAUCCUGAAUGGCUGAAAUGUCAUUCAAGAAAUAACCUAUCACGAGGAGAAACGGUUUCAGACGCUUGCCUGCAUCGAUUUGCAACCCUUUGCCUUGAGCACACAGCACGGAUUAAUGCCCUGUAAACGGAUAAAGAGAAGAUGCCCGAAGUGUAAGUGGUUC